UCCCUGGUGGUCCAGUGGUUAGGAUUCUGCACUCCCAUUGCAAGGUGCACAGGUUCAAUCCCUGGUCAAGGAA
rnacentral:tRNA from 1 species